rnacentral:rRNA from 1 species
UACAGAGGUCUCGAGCGUUGUUCGGGAUUCAUUGGGCGUAAAGGGUGCGUAGGUGGCGCUGUAAGUCGGGUGUGAAAUCCUGAGGCUUAACCUCGGAACUGCAUUCGAUACUGCGGCGCUUGAGGACUGGAGAGGAGACUGGAAUUCAUGGUGUAGCAGUGAAAUGCGUAGAGAUCCGGAAGAACACCGGUGGCGAAGGCGGUCGACUGGGCCAGUACUGACGCUGAGGCGCGACAGCGUGGGGAGCAACAGGAUUA